UUGGACAUAACUUCGUCAAUGGUUUGGUGGCAGAUUCCACAUGUGUCUUCUUUAAGUUGCGAGGCAAUGGCCACGACCUUCUGGCAAAGGUUCAUCUUGCGACAGAACUCUUCGGGGCGAAUAGAUGAAACCUCUAAGAAGAAGAGAGGUGCAUAAUAGUCUACCAAACUAAUGCACUGCGAAAAAAGAAGAAAAUACUGUCACCAACCCUUUCAAGCACAAGAAAAAGCUUCAUAAGAUUUCCUCCCUCUGCCUGAAUAUCCAAUUUCGAAUGCCUGAAUAUCCAAGAACCUACCUCUCUCUUGAAAGAGGCAACUUGGGAACAGCUAUUAUGAAGGAUUUCUAUGAUCUCAGUCUGAGUCUUGUUAUUAGCAAGAUACUCGAGCGCCUGACCACUGUACUGUUCGCACAACGUGCAUAAUUCGUCGUUCUUUGCUACUUCCUCAGCUUGAACGAUCUGCACUGUAACAUCUGGAAGCAAUACGUAUUAUGUUAUAGAAAUCACUAAGAACAAAAAACAGCUGGGAUCCUAAAUUUCACGUUAGUAUUAUCUUGCAGAAGAGCUUGAUAGGGCUCUGAUAAAAGAAACAACCAGGGCUUGUCCAUAAUCAACUAGACCUCCAAAAAAGUAGCAAAACCACCAUUUGAAGAAUAAAGUCGUAAGCUUUACCUGAUGUUUCAUACGCCCCAACGAUGGGAAGCUCAAAAGUUGAGAUUUGUCUGGCGGAAGAAGA
rnacentral:lncRNA from 1 species